CAAUGUGGAUGAGGAGUACUGUAUGGGACCCAACGGACACGAGGGUCUAAUGCAAUAUAGUGUGAGUGUAACUGGACAAAGACCUAGUUUAGACUAUCCUCCAGCCCUGCUUUCUUUGCUAUGUGGAUGUAGCCUAACAAAAGCAGAAGACCAAGUAGAUCUACUGAGUCAGUAAUUAUAGAGACAGCUCAGAAACUGGUAUCUACAGCACAAGGUAAACCAAUGUAAAUCCUGUUAAUAUAUGAAAGCACUUUAUUCUGGAGCUACACAUUUACUGGAAAAAUCGGUGACAUCAACAGAUA